CCCAGCACUGGGAUUCCGAGGAGUUUCCAUUCGGUGAUCAGCACUGAACACAGAGGACUCACCAUGGAGUUUUGGCUGAGCUGGGUUUUCCUUGUUGCUAUUUUAAAAGGUGUCCAGUGUGAGGUGCAGCUGGUGGAGUCUGGAGGAGGCGUGGUCCAGCCUGGGAGGUCCCUGAGACUCUCCUGUGCAGCCUCUGGAUUCACCUUCAGUAGCUACUGGAUGCACUGGGUCCGCCAGGCUCCAGGGAAGGGGCUGGAGUGGGUCUCAGUUAUUUAUCGUGAUGGCAGAAGCACAAACUACGCAGACUCCGUGAAGGGCAGAUUCACCAUCUCCAGAGACAAUUCCAAGAACACGCUGUAUCUUCAAAUGAACAGCCUGAGAGCUGAGGACACGGCUGUGUAUUACUGUGCGAGAGACACAGUGAGGGGAAGCCAUUGUGCGCCCAGACACAAACCUCCCUGCAGGAACGCUGGGGGGGAAUCAGCUGCAGGGGGCGCUCAGGAGCCACUGCUCAGAGUCAGCCCCGGAGGCAGGUGCAGAUGGAGGCUGUUUCCUGUCAGGAUAUGGGACUUUGUCUUCUUCUGACGAUUCCCCAGGGAACCUCUCUAAGUUUAGAAUUCUGCGCCUAUGAACGUCUUCUCUAAGUAUUUGAAAGAGAUUAUUUUAAUAUGAAGAGCAAUUCUCACUCGCACAAAAUGUGGAUUGAUGCUUACUGGGAUGAAAAGUCCUCAAACAUGGUCACCACGAUUAGAGUCUGAGUAAGCUCAGGGCUUCCUGGUGAGUCUUCUCCUAUCAGACCAAGGACAGGGACCUCAGUGAGGUUCCCCGACUAGAACAGUCUUUAUGGAUACUGAUUGUGGGCGGCAAGCCACCCAGGUGCCGACGCAAGAGACCGAGGACACGAG